UACAGUGUAAAUUAUAACUGCACACAUUAGUACAUUUUCUAGCAUUUUUAAUAUUAUGAUCAUAUUCAAACCAUGUUGUUUACAGGAGUGCAAGCACAAACACCUCACAUAGAACGAUGAAGGCAAGACAUUUAGCAAAAUAUUGUUUUUAUAAGAAUUUCAUGACAAUCAUUUUACAGUGACCGUUGUUUACUUUUUCAAAGCGAUUUUCAAUAACAUUCGAACGUUCUAAUAACACAAACUGAUACAUUGUCCCACAAGUUACCCGUACAUUUAGCUACACGCCAAGCAAUUCUGUGUACACACUAUAGUCACCUGUGCAUUCUACAAUUGGCUAUCAUUUUGAGGAGGAUUUAAGCAGACAGUUGAGGAUAUUAUUUUUUAGAUUUUUUGAUCUGGAUAUUUUAGGUAUCUGGGUGGCAGAUUAUUGCUAGGCAGUACCCACAUUUUGUGUAUCUUAUUUAUUGAAGAAAUUGGACCCAAACGUGGCACAGACCCUAAUGAUGGCAUUCUCAGAAGAAGUAUUGGAAUUCACCAGAGAUCAUCCAGUCGAAAGGACAAGCUCUUUAUGAUCCGUGGAGUGCAGAGGGCAGCCACAUAAAGGGGGGUAAUGGAGGACUCCUUAACCUCUGACCCAGGCCUUUGUCAUUUUACUAGGAAGUGUUGAGAUAAUAACGAGGGUCCACUUUUUCUUCAGAAUGGCAAGCAGGAGGCCUCCAACAAAGCGCCAGUGUCUCUAUUAUCUGUCUACUGCAAACCCCCUCAUGUAGAAAACAUGUGUGUGUGUGAAUUACACAUUAAACAGUUUAUUUGAAGGAACAUAAAAUAGAAAUAAUUAGAAAUCAAUAUUUAUUGUUCUACUACACGCGGAUUUUCUAUGUAUGUUUAUUAGGAAAGAAACAUUGAGAUUGAGAUCAGCUCUCUCUGGACAGUACAUUAAAAAAAUAAAUUAAAAAAUAAAAUAUAAAUUAAAUCAUAUAUUGUUAUAAUUUCAGUUUACAUCUAAUGCAGUAGCUCAGCUAUGAUUGAUUACCUCGGUUUUCUUUGAACAACUACUCCCUAAUCUGUUUGUUGUUUUUUUUUUUAAAUGCAAGUAAACUAAAACCAGUAUUCACAUAUACACACAAACAUAUACACGAUCACAUACAUACGUAUAUAUAUAAAUAUGUAUGUAUUUCAGUGUUAGAAUAGAUAGUUUUUUAAAAUGAAGGUGCAUGUAUUUUUGCAACAUAUGGAUGUACAUAUUUAUUGAAGUGUGUCACCUAGUUAUUACGGCAUUUUUAUUGUUUAAAAUUAAGCUAGCAUACUAUAUAUAUAUAUGAACAGACAUUUGGAAAAUAUUACCACAUUUCUACUGUUUUUUUCCACGACUUGUUCCAUCCAUUGACAAGUAUGAUAAUGAGCUAGAAUACAGCAGCGACCUCUAGUGGAGAGCAAGGAUAAAUCACUAUCCGUGUCGAUUCUUAAUAUUUUGCAAUACAAUCGUAAGAUUAUUUAUAUUUAUUUUGUUAUAAAUUCAGAUUGGGUACUUGUUGGUUAAAAGUUGCCCCAGCUCAUUAUUACAUCUCAUCGUGCAGGCAGUAUUGAAUUUACCCACUUCAGAUGCUUGAAAUCCAAUGUUCUGAGAUUAGGUGGUCCUUAACACAUGCAGUAUAUUAAUAUUCUCUUUAAAUGACAUAUAUUGUUAUAUUUUCACUUUGUUAAUUCUAAUUUUCUUAGUAAACAAGUAACCAUACAUAUAUAUGCAUCAGUUCUGUAUCAGAAAAUAUGAGUGGAAUUAAUACUGUGCACAUCUCUGUUAAUGUUUCAUUAUUAUGUUAUCACAUUAGGA